UGACCUCAACUCAGUCGUGAUUACCCGCUGAAAUUUAAGCAUAUAACUAAGCGGAGGAAAAGAAACUAA
rnacentral:rRNA from 1 species